rnacentral:rRNA from 1 species
UCAGAUGCGUCGCGCCGAUCGCCUGAUGGGUACUCUAAUGCCUGAGCGUGGAGUCCCUUUGAGCUUGAGACGCGCUUGACCGGCCGUUGGGCUCGCGUCACCAAGUCCGCGUCCUUCUGGACGUCGGUACUACAACGCAUGACCUCAUUGGGGUAGGACAACCCGCUAGACUUAAGCAUAUUAAUCAGCGGAGGAAAAGAAACUAACCAGGAUUCCCCUAGUAACUGCGAGUGAAGCGGGACCGGCUCAAUGUGUGAAUCUGACUUGGGGUAAACCCGUGUCCGAGUUGUGCACUAUAGACGUUUCGUCUGCGUAUGUAACGGCGGUGGAAGUCCGUUGAAACACGGCACCUCAGAGGGUCACAGUCCUGUACCACCUGCCUGCACUCGCGCCAAUGACAAGCGCUCUUCGAGUCGCGUAGUUUUGUAAUGCUGCGCCAAGUGGGAGGUAGAGACCUUCUAAGGCUAAAUAUGAUGACGUGACCGAUAGCACACAAGUACCGCGAGGGAAAGGUGAAAAGCAACCAUGAAAAAUGGGUUGAAACAGUAGUGAAAGCGCUUCCGGGAU